AAUCAACGCUGGCGGCGUGCCUCAGACAUGCAAGUCGAACGAUUAAAGCUCUCUUCGGAGAGUGUAUAGAGUGGCGCACGGGUGAGUAACACGUAAGUAAUCUACCUUCGAGUGGGGAAUAACGUCCGGAAACGGACGCUAAUACCGCAUAAUGCAGCGGCAUCGCAAGAUGACAGUUGUUAAAGAUUUAUCGCUUGAAGAGGAGCUUGCGGCAGAUAGCUAGUUGGUAAGGUAAUGGCUUACCAAGGCUACGAUCUGUAACCGGUCUAAGAGGACGGUCGGUCACACUGACACUGAGUAACGGGUCAGACUCCUACGGGAGGCAGCAGUCGGGAAUUUUGGGCAAUGGGCGAAAGCCUGACCCAGCAACGCCGCGUGAAGGA
rnacentral:rRNA from 1 species